UAUUACCUAAAAAAGCGUAAGAAUUUCGAAAAUUUUUGACGUCUACGAAAAUUUGAUAAAUAAUUUCCAAGAGCAUAGAGGUAGUUUCAAUCAUGUUUGACGUUUCGAAAGGGGUUUUUGCAGUUUUCGGAAACUCGAGUCGAUUAUUAUAUAAAUAAUGCCAAAAUAGGAAAAAUAAAUGCUAGAGAAUCAUUCUCCAUAUCCUGUAGCAUCUACAGGUACCCAUAUUUCGGCUCAAUAUGUACAGGUAAGUUUGCAAUUUUCGAUAUUACGAAACCACCUCAGUUAAGCACCGUUCAUAACCUUCGUUUUGGCCCUGAAUAUUUUCAGUAAUUUCGUGAUUUUUAGCGUUGAAAUUGCCAAAAUAAAUUUAUAUUAGGAAAGUCGAGGUCACUAUUCAGCCAAAACUAACUUAAAAUUUUAUAAUUUCCAUAAUUUUUCAAUUCGUAUAACGUGUUUUCCUGUCAUUCGGGUAGAAGUGUUGUUGGAGCCUUAGGCCAGUUUCAUUUGAUUGUUGACAGACCGUGAAAAAAUUGAUGUAAAUUUUUAAGGUUUAAUUAUUAUUCAAAUCAAAGGAUAUAUUUACUACAUUUCUCCCCGUACAAUAGCAUAGCAGUGAUAGCACUUCGAAGCUCACAUCACAGAUGAAUAUUUUCCCAUAAUCCGAAAGUUAGGUUAUUAUUGAAUUUCCAGAUAUGAAAGACAGUUCUUGGACGUGAAUCUGUAUAAAAAUCAGAUGUAAUAACUGAUAGUUUAUUUUGUCACUAACAAUACUUAUUUUUCAGGCACAUUCAUCAUAUCAAGAAAUGUAUGAAAUUCACAAAUGUCAAAUAUCAUCUCUCGGAAAGUCUCAUUUUAAAUAAAAAAAGCUUCUUCAGGGGUAAGCUUCUAAGAAAUUGUUUCAGAAGAGUUAGUAUUUGAAGUAUAUGAUCCAUUUGUCAAGUUUACAUAAUGGAUUUCAGAUUAAAUUACAUGCAAACUCACAGAAUGAGAAACAUCCUUAGUCUUGGUGUAUGAACAUAAGAAUUUCUAGAUAACAAACGGUUCUUGGGGGCAUAUAUAAAUUUAUCAGAUCAAGAAAUUUUUUUCAGAGUAAGUUCAUAAAGCAAUUCGUUCAGGAGAGUUUCCAUGUGAAGUAGAUGAUCUAUUUCUCUUCUUUUCAACUGAGUACAUCAGAUUUCUGACAACGUUCAAGCAAUUGGGUAGUGUAUGGAGAUGAUUUUCUUAGUCUAGAUCUAUGGCAAAAUACGUUUUGAGAUAAGUUAUUCUGUUGGAAUUAUAUAAUGAUUAUUGAAACACAAUCUAUGAGUGAGCUUUUGCGUUAAAAUUCUAUGUUUAUAGACAUUUGUCGAGUUUUCUCAUUAAAGGUAAGAUUUUUCUCUUAUCGUAGAGUGAGGGACUCUGUAGGUUUUUGUUCGAAAUAAACUGAAUUAAAUGUUAUAAUACUUGAAAUCUUCAUAAUUAGGCUUCUUUUCAAUUGCAUAUAACAGAUUCUGGCCAAUUUUCAAGCUUUUUGAUUGGUGUACAAGGAUUAUUCUAUUUGCUCAUUCCAGAUAAUAGGAGAAAUGUUUUCAAUUAACUCAUUCGAGUGGAAUAAUAAAAUGAUUAUUGGGAUGAUAAAAAGAUUAUUGAAACACAAUCUAUGAGUAAGGUUUUACGUUAAAAUUCUAUAUUUAUAUAGACUUUCGCCAAGUUUUUGUCAUUUGAGGUUAGUUUUUUUUCUUAUCGUAGAUUAAGGGAUUUUUUAGAUUUUUGUUCAAAAUGAACUGAAUUAAAUAUUAUAAUGCUUGAACUUUUUUUAAUUAGGCUUCUUUCCCAUUCCAUAUAACAGAUUUUGGCCAAUUUUUAAGCUUUUUGAUUAUUGUACGAGGAUUAUUGUAUUUAAUCAUUCCAGAUAAAAGGAAAAAUGUUUUCGAAUAACUUAUUCGAGUGGAAUGAUAUAAUGAUUAUUGAAAUACAUUGGCAGGGUGUGUUUUUUGCGUUAAAAUUCUACUUUUAUAGACUUUUGGCCAGUUAUUCUCAUUUCAGGUUAGUUUUCUGUUUCAUCGUAGAGUAAGAACUUUGUGAGUUUCAAUUCAAGAUGAACUGAAUGCAUGGAAUCUCCGUUAUAAGGCUUCUGUCCAACUGAAUAUAACUGAUUUUUGAGCAGUG